GCAUAUCAAUAAGCGGAGGAAAAGAAACCAACAGGGAUUGCCCUAGUAACGGCGAGUGAAGCGGCAACAGCUCAAAUUUGAAAUCUGGCUCUCUUUGGGGGUCCGAGUUGUAAUUUGCAGAGGAUGCUUUGGCAUUGGCGGCGGUCUAAGUUCCUUGGAACAGGACAUCACAGAGGGUGAGAAUCCCGUACGUGGUCGCCUGCCUUUGCCGUGUAAAGCUCCUUCGACGAGUCGAGUUGUUUGGGAAUGCAGCUCUAAAUGGGAGGUAAAUUUCUUCUAAAGCUAAAUACUGGCCAGAGACCGAUAGCGCACAAGUAGAGUGAUCGAAAGAUGAAAAGUACUUUGGAAAGAGAGUCAAAAAGCACGUGAAAUUGUUGAAAGGGAAGCGCUUGCAGCCAGACUUGCCCGCAGUUGCUCACCUAGGCUUUGGCCUGGGGCACUCUUCUGCGGGCAGGCCAGCAUCAGUUUGGGCGGUUGGAUAAAGGCCUCUGUCACGUAUCUCCCUUCGGGGUGACCUUAUAGGGGAGGCGCAAUGCAACCAGCCCGGACUGAGGUCCGCGCAUCUGCUAGGAUGCUGGCGUAAUGGCUGUAAGCGGCCCGUCUUGAAACACGGACCAAGGAGUCUAACAUCUAUGCGAGUGUUUGGGUGUCAAGCCCGAGCGCGCAAUGAAAGUGAACGGAGGUGGGAACCCUUUGGGUGCACCAUCGACCGAUCCUGAUGUCUUCGGAUGGAUUUGAGUAAGAGCAUAGCUGUUGGGACCCGAAAGAUGGUGAACUAUGCUUGAAUAGGGUGAAGCCAGAGGAAACUCUGGUGGAGGCUCGCAGCGGUUCUGACGUGCAAAUCGAUCGUCAAAUUUGGGCAUAGGGGCGAAAGACUAAUCGAACCAUCUAGUAGCUGGUUCCUGCCGAAGU
rnacentral:rRNA from 1 species